GUCACAUAAACAUGUUUUUGAUCGCUGAAAAUCUACGUGACAUUUCUUCAAAAAUGAACGCCUCAGAUUUACCCAAAAGCAACCAGUUCUUUCUUAGAAGAUUUAUUGGAUAGUAUUCGAAAAAGUUAAAUGUGUAAUACCACAUUCCACAAUGAAUGGUGAUUUCAAUAUUGCGGAUGGUCAUCUGACUGAUGGCCAUCUACUGGACGUCAGGACCAAUACAUCUCUGGCCUGUCCAGACUUCAAUGUGAUGCGCAGUGACAGACUUGAUCGCACAAGGGCAACAAUGGAGGCACUGGAUCCCGGACUAACCAAGACUGUACUUCC